rnacentral:rRNA from 1 species
AUUGAACGCUGGCGGCAGGCCUAACACAUGCAAGUCGAGCGGGUGAAGGGAGCUUGCUCCUGGAUUCAGCGGCGGACGGGUGAGUAAUGCCUAGGAAUCUGCCUGGUAGUGGGGGAUAACGUCCGGAAACGGGCGCUAAUACCGCAUACGUCCUGAGGGAGAAAGUGGGGGAUCUUCGGACCUCACGCUAUCAGAUGAGCCUAGGUCGGAUUAGCUAGUUGGUGGGGUAAAGGCCUACCAAGGCGACGAUCCGUAACUGGUCUGAGAGGAUGAUCAGUCACACUGGAACUGAGACACGGUCCAGACUCCUACGGGAGGCAGCAGUGGGGAAGAUUGGACCAUGGGCGAAAGCCUGAUCCAUCCACGCCGCGUGUGUGAAGAAGGUCUUCGGAUUGGAAAGCACGUGAGGUGGGGAGGAAGGGCAGUAAGUUAAGACCUUGCUUUGUUGACGUGACCAACAGAGUAAGCACCGGCUAGCUUCGUG